UACGAGGGGGCGAGCGUUGUUCGGAAUUAUUGGGCGUAAAGGGUGCGUAGGCGGUUUGGUAAGUCUCGUGUGAAAUCUCCGGGCUCAACUCGGAGCCUGCACGAGAAACUGCCGGGCUUGAGUGGUGGGAGAGGUGAGGUGGAAUUCCUGGUGUAGCGGUGAAAUGCGUAGAUAUCAAGUGGAACACCAGUGGCGAAGCGAGUCUCUGGGCCGUAACUGACGCUGAGGAGCGAAAGCAUGGGGAGCGAACAGG
rnacentral:rRNA from 1 species